CGCGCGCGCAGCCGCGGCGCGUCCGGCCCCCGCCGCCAGCCCCGCGGACCUGCGCCGGCUUCUAAGUAUUUCUUGCUGUCACCAGACCCUCGGCAGCCGGCGGAAGGCAAAGGAAAAGUAAAUGAACUGUAAAGAAAUAACACAGACCUUUCCGCAUUCUGCCGCCUAAAACCGCCUCUCGAUCCCCGAGCGUUCUCUCGGGGUCACCGCCGGGCCCGUUUCUGAAGUUCCCACAGAAGUCUGAGAUGGUGGCCAGUAAUUUCUCCUUGAAGCCUAACACACCUUACCCAGUGACUAGGAGCCGAGCCAGCCUCACAACCAGCACAACCACAGGGCACCAAGUGUGGGCACGCGAGAGACACGUUGAGAAAGUGGUUUUGAGGAAGCGUUUCCACUCGCUCCUGCGUGGAAUCUUUCCACCAGAGUUGCUAACAAACUGAACGUACGACUGACUGGGGUUAUGCAUCCUCUUUCUUCGUGCUCCUCACCUCCCGCCCCCCUCAUUUCUGCUGGAGAAUUGGAAAAGCGGGAAAUGCCCCCCAGAGUGAAGAACACAGCACAGGGGACUCUGGGUAAUCCACCCCUGCCCGCUGUAAGGACACGCUACCCAGUCCCGGAUCAUAGCCAUUUCUCUUCUUUACAACUCCACGAGGAAACUUACAGUCCGGAGGAAAACAACAAAAACAAAAAAACAAACUAGGAAGAAAUACACCAUAGCAAUUACUGGCUGGAAGGUGGUGGAAUUACGGAUAUUUUUCUUUUAUUGCAUAAUUAAAUGCGAUUCUAACUCUUUUACUUAAAUGUUUGUAGUAAGACUAUUUUUCUACACUUCUGUAUGCUUAAAUACUUCCAUAAUAAAAAUUAUAUUUUAAUUUCAAAGCAA